rfam:Salmo salar isolate Sally breed double haploid chromosome ssa22, whole genome shotgun sequence.
CUGACUGUUUUCUUUUGGUGUUUAGAGUCUCUUCUAUUUCUAGCACCAUUUGAAAUCAGUUAC